ensembl:lncRNA
UGCCAGAGUGACCAUCAGAUUCUUGGUCACCUCCCCGACCAAGACCCUUCUCCUGAUUGCUCAGCUUGGUCGGGCGGCCAGCUCUGAGAAGAUUCUUGGUUAAUCCAAACUUAUUCCAUUUAAGAAUGAUGGAGCCCAGUGUUCUUUGGGAUCUUCAAUGCUGCAGAAGGUACCAAAAACACAAUCCUGUCUCGGAGUUCUACGGACAAUUUCUUAGACAUCAUGAUUUUUGCUCUGACAUGCAGUGUCAACUAUGUCGAAUCCUAAUUGCGAAAAUAUAUGUAAUCCACUUUGGAAUAAGGGUGUAACUUAACAUUCAGGAUACAGAGUGAGAGGAUGAGUACGAUCUGCUGUCUCACAGCCCUGGUCCAUCAGUAAACUGCAUGAUGCACUGAGUUUUUAAUGACCGCAUGCACAGGAUACUAGAGGCAAACCACAGUUAUUACUUGCAGGUUCCUGUGCACCAGGAACCAAAGCACCAGUUUGAAACAUGAACAAUAUACUACCCAAGACAAAACCUUUGGUGAGUGCCAAGACAACCUCUGCCUCACCAACGGCUACCUUUGGUACUUCCUACUUGAACCAUGAUAAAUGUUGUUUGCUAGUUGAGUUUUUCCCCAACAGUGUCAUGUUUCCUUGGCACUGGAUGGGAAGAACUCAAACUGUGGUGCAACCUGCACCUUUCCAAGGCUUGUGUUUGUUAUGCAGUGCAACAAUGUUUUGCCAAGAUGUAAUAUUGAACACAACCCAGGUUUGAAUGUAAUUUCCACCCACUGUCACUGCUUAGACGUUGCUUUAUAACAGAAUAGGUUUUGCGAAGAGAUGAGCGCCACAGUUGACACUUUAGUGCUAUUCUUUUUCCUGUAGUAUUAAUUAUCUAGCUAUAUAUAUAUAUAAGACGCUUAAUUAAAACAUAGUACAUAAAAAGAUUGUUUGUAGGAGUAGAGUCUUGUGUUAGUGAUGAGCUAUACCAGCUCUAGUCCAGGAUAGUCUCAGCAACUUGCAUGUGAAUGCCCUGGACCAGAGCUAAGGCUUUGCAGACUGCCAUCACAUGGCGAUGUUAAAAUGUUAGUGCCCAGUUGGAAAACGCUGUUUGUGAGUGUUCUCCCUGGCUUUUAAUAAGGUAAUCGGGGGCUAGUUCAUGUGAGCUAGUUCAGGGCUACAACGUGAGUUGUCUAGGCGUUCCCAGGGCAGAACCAUUCAGUAGGGAGUAAGGCGUGGUUACAUCCAGAGCCGGUUCUAGGCAUAAGUGACAUAAGUGGUUGCUUAGGCCCCCCGACCAAUAGGGGGCCUCUGACUGCUAUGGGAGAGGGGACCCAAAUUUUGCUUAGGGCACCCAAAAGUCUAGACCUGGCGCUGAUUACAUCGCAAAUGACGUGAAGUAGCUAGCCAUGUGGACAAUAGGUAAUACCCAAUGUGAUGUGUGCAAUAGCCUCCUUUGGUCUGGGAUGACAAUUUUUUUUAGGGACUGGUGGGCUGAGAAUGGUUUUCUGCUUUUCAGGCCAAUCCAUGUGCUUUAGAUGUGUACCUAGCGACAUCAUACCAAAAAACGUUUCAGCUGAUUGUGAUCCGUUUUAUCAUCUUAGUUUGUUGUACCUCUGGUUGAUAAUGAAGUUCAGCUGUUGGAUUUAUACCUACUUUUGAUUCAAUAGAGUAGCAAGGAACAUUUCCUGUUCUAGUAACUGUUAAAGUAGACUGGGUCCCUUUACACUCUGAUUGGCUAACACUCGGUUUACAUUGGAGUUUGAAUAAAUAUGAAAUACAAUUUUGGG